rnacentral:tRNA from 1 species
GGUGCGUGAGCCAGACGGCCAGGCAACGGUCUGCAAAACCGUGCAAACGGGUUCGACUCCCGUACGCACCU